rnacentral:lncRNA from 1 species
CCCAAAGGGAACAAUGGGUUUCAUUAAUGGAAAUCAACACAUUUAAAAAGAACAUAUUUGUUUGUUCAGAUCACAUCCUUAGAAGUGAUAUAAGGGAGAUAAUAUUAUCAGUAGCCAGACUUUAUUAAAAAAAUCAGCUCUACCUCAAAGGAUUUCUGAUGCACUGGUUAAAAACACAGCAGCCAAUAAUUCAGUUAAUUUACCAAGUGAUUUACCCUUCAAAGCUACAGGGGUAGCUUUCCUGAAGAGUGCAAAAACUUCUUUAGCUUUCAAAAUGGUAUAUAGUACAAACAGUGAAGCUAAUAUAGACACAUCUGAUCAUUCAUCAUCAACAAUAACUGCAUCUGAGAAUUAUAGUUCUACAGUAACCGUGGAGUCUAGGUCAACAAUUACUAUUUCUCAUCCAAGCCGUUUUUGUUUAACUGCUACACAUUCCCUGACUCUGCCAAGGAAAAGGGUAAAAUCAAAAUGAUAUCCUGAGGACCUAAGCACUGAUGAUUCCACCGUUUCAAGAGCUUAAUCACUUGUCACCAGAUUAUGGAAAAAAAAUAAAGAACAAAAAAUUAAAAUUCGAUGAUUGCAACAAGCAAAUUUGCGCCAAAGAAAUUGAAUUAGAUGUCUCAAGUCAUUAUUAAAAUACUUACAUGAAAUAAUAACAUGAUUUUAUGGAAAAGCCCAACAUACUACAUAUUUUAUUUGACUUGUAAAAGCACUUGUUUGUAUAUUACUACUAAUAAACUCUCUAAUCUAAUCUAUUGUA